rnacentral:rRNA from 1 species
AAUCCAUAGGUUAAUGAGGCGAACCGGGGGAACUGAAACAUCUAAGUACCCCGAGGAAAAGAAAUCAACCGAGAUUCCCCCAGUAGCGGCGAGCGAACGGGGAGGAGCCCAGAGCCUGAAUCAGCAUGUGUGUUAGUGGAAGCGUCUGGAAAGGCGCGCGAUACAGGGUGACAGCCCCGUACACAAAAGCGCAUGUGCUGUGAGCUCGAUGAGUAGGGCGGGACACGUGGUAUCCUGUCUGAAUAUGGGGGGACCAUCCUCCAAGGCUAAAUACUCCUGACUGACCGAUAGUGAACCAGUACCGUGAGGGAAAGGCGAAAAGAACCCCGGCGAGGGGAGUGAAAAAGAACCUGAAACCGUGUACGUACAAGCAGUGGGAGCACCCUUUGGGUGUGACUGCGUACCUUUUGUAUAAUGGGUCAGCGACUUAUAUUCUGUAGCAAGGUUAACCGAAUAGGGGAGCCGGAGGGAAACCGAGUCUUAACCGGGCGUUAAGUUGCAGGGUAUAGACCCGAAACCCGGUGAUCUAGCCAUGGGCAGGUUGAAGGUUGGGUAACACUAACUGGAGGACCGAACCGACUAAUGUUGAAAAAUUAGCGGAUGACCUGUGGCUGGGGGUGAAAGGCCAAUCAAACCGGGAGAUAGCUGGUUCUCCCCGAAAGCUAUUUAGGUAGCGCCUCGUGAAUUCAUCUCCGGGGGUAGAGCACUGUUUCGGCUAGGGGGCCAUCCCGGCUUACCAACCCGAUGCAAACUGCGAAUACCGGAGAAUGUUAUCACGGGAGACACACGGCGGGUGCUAACGUCCGUCGUGAAGAGGGAAACAACCCAGACCGCCAGCUAAGGUCCCAAAGUCAUGGUUAAGUGGGAAACGAUGUGGGAAGGCCCAGACAGCCAGGAUGUUGGCUUAGAAGCAGCCAUCAUUUAAAGAAAGCGUAAUAGCUCACUGGUCGAGUCGGCCUGCGCGGAAGAUGUAACGGGGCUAAACCAUGCACCGAAGCUGCGGCAGCGACACUGUGUGUUGUUGGGUAGGGGAGCGUUCUGUAAGCCUGUGAAGGUGUGUCGUGAGGCAUGCUGGAGGUAUCAGAAGUGCGAAUGCUGACAUAAGUAACGAUAAAGCGGGUGAAAAGCCCGCUCGCCGGAAGACCAAGGGUUCCUGUCCAACGUUAAUCGGGGCAGGGUGAGUCGACCCCUAAGGCGAGGCCGAAAGGCGUAGUCGAUGGGAAACGGGUUAAUAUUCCCGUACUUGGUGUUACUGCGAAGGGGGGACGGAGAAGGCUAUGUUGGCCGGGCGACGGUUGUCCCGGUUUAAGCGUGUAGGUGUGUGUUCCAGGUAAAUCCGGUUCACUUUAACACUGAGGCGUGACGACGAGGCACUACGGUGCUGAAGCAACAAAUGCCCUGCUUCCAGGAAAAGCCUCUAAGCAUCAGGUAACAUCAAAUCGUACCCCAAACCGACACAGGUGGUCAGGUAGAGAAUACCAAGGCGCUUGAGAGAACUCGGGUGAAGGAACUAGGCAAAAUGGUGCCGUAACUUCGGGAGAAGGCACGCUGACACGUAGGUGAAGUGAUUUACUCAUGGAGCUGAAGUCAGUCGAAGAUACCAGCUGGCUGCAACUGUUUAUUAAAAACACAGCACUGUGCAAACACGAAAGUGGACGUAUACGGUGUGACGCCUGCCCGGUGCCGGAAGGUUAAUUGAUGGGGUCAGCGCAAGCGAAGCUCCUGAUCGAAGCCCCGGUAAACGGCGGCCGUAACUAUAACGGUCCUAAGGUAGCGAAAUUCCUUGUCGGGUAAGUUCCGACCUGCACGAAUGGCGUAAUGAUGGCCAGGCUGUCUCCACCCGAGACUCAGUGAAAUUGAACUCGCUGUGAAGAUGCAGUGUACCCGCGGCAAGACGGAAAGACCCCGUGAACCUUUACUAUAGCUUGACACUGAACAUUGAGCCUUGAUGUGUAGGAUAGGUGGGAGGCUUUGAAGUGUGGACGCCAGUCUGCAUGGAGCCGACCUUGAAAUACCACCCUUUAAUGUUUGAUGUUCUAACGUGGACCCGUUACCCGGGUUGCGGACAGUGUCUGGUGGGUAGUUUGACUGGGGCGGUCUCCUCCUAAAGAGUAACGGAGGAGCACGAAGGUUGGCUAAUCCUGGUCGGACAUCAGGAGGUUAGUGCAAUGGCAUAAGCCAGCUUGACUGCGAGCGUGACGGCGCGAGCAGGUGCGAAAGCAGGUCAUAGUGAUCCGGUGGUUCUGAAUGGAAGGGCCAUCGCUCAACGGAUAAAAGGUACUCCGGGGAUAACAGGCUGAUACCGCCCAAGAGUUCAUAUCGACGGCGGUGUUUGGCACCUCGAUGUCGGCUCAUCACAUCCUGGGGCUGAAGUAGGUCCCAAGGGUAUGGCUGUUCGCCAUUUAAAGUGGUACGCGAGCUGGGUUUAGAACGUCGUGAGACAGUUCGGUCCCUAUCUGCCGUGGGCGCUGGAGAACUGAGGGGGGCUGCUCCUAGUACGAGAGGACCGGAGUGGACGCAUCACUGGUGUUCGGGUUGUCAUGCCAAUGGCACUGCCCGGUAGCUAAAUGCGGAAGAGAUAAGUGCUGAAAGCAUCUAAGCACGAAACUUGCCCCGAGAUGAGUUCUCCCUGAGACUUAGAGUCUCCUGAAGGAACGUUGAAGACGACGACGUUGAUAGGCCGGGUGUGUAAGCGCA